rnacentral:rRNA from 1 species
AUUGAACGCUGGCGGCAGGCUUAACACAUGCAAGUCGAGCGGAGCGAGGGUGCUUGCACCUUAGCUUAGCGGCGGACGGGUGAGUAAUGCUUAGGAAUCUGCCUAUUAGUGGGGGACAACAUUCCGAAAGGAAUGCUAAUACCGCAUACGCCCUACGGGGGAAAGCAGGGGAUCUUCGGACCUUGCGCUAAUAGAUGAGCCUAAGUCGGAUUAGCUAGUUGGUGGGGUAAAGGCCUACCAAGGCGACGAUCUGUAGCGGGUCUGAGAGGAUGAUCCUCCACACUGGGACUGAGACACGGCCCAGACUCCUACGGGAGGCAGCAGUGGGGAAUAUUGGACAAGGGGCGGAAGCCUGAUCCAGCCAUGCCGCGUGUGUGAAGAAGGCCUUUUGGUUGUAAAGCACUUUAAGCGAGGAGGAGGCUACUAGUAUUAAUACUACUGGAUAGUGGACGUUACUCGCAGAAUAAGCACCGGCUAACUCUGUGCCAGCCGCCGCGGUAAGAC